rnacentral:rRNA from 1 species
UAGGGAAUAUUCCACAAUGAGCGAAAGCUUGAUGGAGCGACACAGCGUGCACGAUGAAGGUCUUCGGAUUGUAAAGUGCUGUUAUAAGGGAAGAACAUUUGCAAUAGGAAAUGAUUGCAGACUGACGGUACCUUGUCAGAAAGCGAUGGCUAACUAUGUGCCAGCAGCCGCGGUAAUACAUAGGUCGCAAGCGUUAUCCGGAAUUAUUGGGCGUAAAGCGUUCGUAGGCUGUUUGUUAAGUCUGGAGUUAAAUCCCGGGGCUCAACCCCGGCUCGCUUUGGAUACUAGCAAACUAGAGUUAGAUAGAGGUAAGCGGAAUUCCAUGUGAAGCGGUGAAAUGCGUAGAUAUAUGGAAGAACACCAAAGGCGAAGGCAGCUUACUGGGUCUAUACUGACGCUGAGGGACGAAAGCGUGGGGAGCAAACA